UGAAUCCGAAAGCAGCUAUAAUGAGUAGUUUGGUUAAGACAUUUAUCAAAAUCAUGGUUGUAAUGGUCGUGGUGAUGGAGGCCACAACUGGAAAGCGAACUACCCCAGAUUUAUGCUGUGAUUAAGUCUCUAUUCAAAGAAGUUACAUUUAGUACCACCAACACCGCAAUUUAGUAGACUUGCUGCCCUUGUUUCUUAGAAGUGUUGGGUGUGGGUUUAUCGACAGUGUAUUCACUUAUGAGUUUUAAUGUUAAAUAAACCAACUGUCUAGUA